rnacentral:rRNA from 1 species
CAGGGAUUGCCCCAGUAACGGCGAGUGAAGCGGCAACAGCUCAAAUUUGAAAUCUGGCCCUCGGGUCCGAAUUGUAAUUUGCAGAGGAUGCUUUGGGCGCGGCGCCUUCCGAGUUUCCUGGAACGGAACGCCAUAGAGGGUGAGAGCCCCGUCCGGUUGGAUGCCUAGCCUAUGUAAAGCUCCUUCGACGAGUCGAGUAGUUUGGGAAUGCUGCUCUAAAUGGGAGGUACAUGUCUUCUAAAGCUAAAUAUUGGCCAGAGACCGAUAGCGCACAAGUAGAGUGAUCGAAAGAUGAAAAGCACUUUGAAAAGAGGGUUAAAUAGUACGUGAAAUUGUUGAAAGGGAAGCAUUUAUGACCAGACUUGGGCCCGGUUAAUCAUCUAGCGUUCUCGCUGGUGCACUUUGCCGGCCCAGGCCAGCAUCAGUUCGUCGCGGGGGAUAAAGGCUUCGGGAACGUGGCUCCCUCGGGAGUGUUAUAGCCCGUUGCGUAAUACCCUGCCUCGGACUGAGGUUCGCGCAUCUGCAAGGAUGCUGGCGUAAUGGUCAUCAAUGACCCGUCUUGAAACACGGACCAAGGAGUCGUCUUCGUAUGCGAGUGUUCGCGGUGUCAAACCCCUACGCGUAAUGAAAGUGAACGCAGGUGAGAGCUUCGGCGCAUCAUCGACCGAUCCUGAUGUUCUCGGAUGGAUUUGAGUAAGAGCAUACGGGGCCGGACCCGAAAGAAGGUGAACUAUGCCUGUAUAGGGUGAAGCCAGAGGAAACUCUGGUGGAGGCUCGCAGCGGUUCUGACGUGCAAAUCGAUCGUCAAAUAUGGGCAUGGGGGCGAAAGACUAAU